GUCGAGGGGUAUAGUUCUUCGGAAUUAGAGACCGGCGCACGGGUGCGUAACGCGUAUGCAAUCUACCUUUCACAGAGGGNUAGCCCAGAGAAAUUUGGAUUAAUACCUCAUAGUAUAUAGCCCUGGCAUCAGGAUUAUAUUAAAGAUUUAUCGGUGAAAGAUGAGCAUGCGUCCCAUUAGCUAGUUGGUAUGGUAACGGCAUACCAAGGCUACGAUGGGUAGGGGUCCUGAGAGGGAGAUCCCCCACACUGGUACUGAGACACGGACCAGACUCCUACGGGAGGCAGCAGUGAGGAAUAUUGGACAAUGGGCGCAAGCCUGAUCCAGCCAUGCCGCGUGCAGGAUGACGGUCCUAUGGAUUGUAAACUGCUUUUAUACGAGAAGAAACAACUCUACGUGUAGAGUCUUGACGGUAUCGUAAGAAUAAGGAUCGGCUAACUCCGUGCCAGCAGCCGCGGUAAUACGGAGGAUCCAAGCGUUAUCCGGAAUCAUUGGGUUUAAAGGGUCCGUAGGCGGUUUAGUAAGUCAGUGGUGAAAGCCCAUCGCUCAACGGUGGAACGGCCAUUGAUACUGCUAGACUUGAAUUAUUAGGAAGUAACUAGAAUAUGUAGUGUAGCGGUGAAAUGCUUAGAGAUUACAUGGAAUACCAAUUGCGAAGGCAGGUUACUACUAAUUGAUUGACGCUGAUGGACGAAAGCGUGGGUAGCGAACAGGAUUAGAUACCCUGGUAGUCCACGCCGUAAACGAUGGAUACUAGCUGUUGGGAGCAAUCUCAGUGGCUAAGCGAAAGUGAUAAGUAUCCCACCUGGGGAGUACGAACGCAAGUUUGAAACUCAAAGGAAUUGACGGGGGCCCGCACAAGCGGUGGAGCAUGUGGUUUAAUUCGAUGAUACGCGAGGAACCUUACCAAGGCUUAAAUGUAGAUUGACCGGUUUGGAAACAGACUUUUCGCAAGACAAUUUACAAGGUGCUGCAUGGUUGUCGUCAGCUCGUGCCGUGAGGUGUCAGGUUAAGUCCUAUAACGAGCGCAACCCCUGUUGUUAGUUGCCAGCGAGUCAUGUCGGGAACUCUAACGAGACUGCCAGUGCAAACUGUGAGGAAGGUGGGGAUGACGUCAAAUCAUCACGGCCCUUACGCCUUGGGCUACACACGUGCUACAAUGGCCGGUACAGAGAGCAGCCACUGGGCGACCAGGAGCGAAUCUACAAAACCGGUCACAGUUCGGAUCGGAGUCUGCAACUCGACUCCGUGAAGCUGGAANCGCUAGUAAUCGGA
rnacentral:rRNA from 1 species